rnacentral:rRNA from 1 species
GACGAACGCUGGCGGCGUGCCUAAUACAUGCAAGUAGAACGCUGAAGGAGGAGCUUGCUCUUCUGGAUGAGUUGCGAACGGGUGAGUAACGCGUAGGUAACCUGCCUGGUAGCGGGGGAUAACUAUUGGAAACGAUAGCUAAUACCGCAUAACAGUAGAUGUUGCAUGACAUUUGCUUAAAAGGUGCAAUUGCAUCACUACCAGAUGGACCUGCGUUGUAUUAGCUAGUUGGUGGGGUAACGGCUCACCAAGGCGACGAUACAUAGCCGACCUGAGAGGGUGAGCGGCCACACUGGGACUGAGACACGGCCCAGACUCCUACGGGAGGCAGCAGUAGGGAAUCUUCGGCAAUGGACGGAAGUCUGACCGAGCAACGCCGCGGGAGUGAAGAAGGUUUUCGGAUCGUAAAGCUCUGUUGUAAGAGAAGAACGAGUGUGAGAGUGGAAAGUUCACACUGUGACGGUAUCUGACCAGAAAGGGACGGCUAACUACGUG